rnacentral:rRNA from 1 species
UACGUAGGGUGCAAGCGUUGUCCGGAAUUAUUGGGCGUAAAGAGCUCGUAGGCGGCUUGUUGAGUCGGCUGUGAAAUCCCGAGGCUCAACCUCGGGUCUGCAGUCGAUACGAGCAAACUAGAGUGUUGCAGGGGAGACUGGAAUUCCUGGUGUAGCGGUGAAAUGCGCAGAUAUCAGGAGGAACACCGGUGGCGAAGGCGGGUCUCUGGGCAACAACUGACGCUGAGGAGCGAAAGCGUGGGGAGCGAACAGG